rnacentral:ncRNA from 10 species
AUCGUUCAAUCUAAUUUAUAUUAGAUCGGAAGUAGGCAAAUAUGCUGAAGGAACGCAGA